rnacentral:rRNA from 1 species
UACGUAGGGUGCAAGCGUUGUCCGGAAUUAUUGGGCGUAAAGAGCUCGUAGGCGGUUUGUCGCGUCUGCUGUGAAAACCCGAGGCUCAACCUCGGGCCUGCAGUGGGUACGGGCAGACUAGAGUGCGGUAGGGGAGAUUGGAAUUCCUGGUGUAGCGGUGGAAUGCGCAGAUAUCAGGAGGAACACCAAUGGCGAAGGCAGAUCGUCUGGGCCGUGAACUGACGCUGAGGAGCGAAAGCAUGGGGAGCGAACAGG